GCGAGUGAAGCGGCAAGAGCUCAAAUUUGAAAUCUGGCUCCCUUUGGGGGUCCGAGUUGUAAUUUGUAGAGGAUGCUUCGGGUGCGGCCGCGGCGCAAGUCCCUUGGAACAGGGCGUCGCAGAGGGUGAGAACCCCGUCUUGAGUCGCCGGUACGCGCCCAUGCGAAGCUCCUUCGACGAGUCGAGUUGUUUGGGAAUGCAGCUCAAAGUGGGUGGUAAAUUUCAUCUAAAGCUAAAUAUUGGCCGGAGACCGAUAGCGCACAAGUAGAGUGAUCGAAAGGUUAAAAGCACCUUGAAAAGGGAGUUAAACAGCACGUGAAAUUGUUGAAAGGGAAGCGCUUGCGACCAGACUCGGACGCGGGGGUUCAGCGGGCAUGUUUGCCCGUGCACUCCGCCGCGCUCCGGGCCAGCAUCAGUUUCGACGGCCGGUCAAAGGCCCCCGGAAUGUGUCGUCCUCCGGGACGUCUUAUAGCCGGGGGUGCAAUGCGGCCAGUCGGGACUGAGGAACGCGCU
rnacentral:rRNA from 1 species